CCACACCAUUCUCCCACUCCCACUCCCACUCCAGUAGGCAAGCCGCCACGUUUCCCCACUAGAAAUGAAAUGAGAGAUCCACAUCACGACCGCCGCUUCUCCGGCGACGCGCGCCGGAGGCAUCUUCCUCGACGUCGACACCAUCUCCGGUGCAGGCGCGCCGGAGGCAUCUUCCAUCGACGUCCACGGCCAAGAGGCGCCUCGCUUCCGGACGUCACCAAAACUCCCGCCGACGGCCGGCGCUGGCUCCGGCGACAUCACACCAUGCCGUGUACGUACGGUGCGCCGACGCCUUUGUCUCGAUGGCCACCGUGCGUCGCUUCCCUUCCCGAGGCCGUCGACACCAACCAAGCCCCGGGCCUCACGCCACACGGAUCCGGUCACCGGCGGUCGCGCGGGUAUCCUGACCCGGAUCCGGUGACCCUUGGUGUGAAUACCGCCUCUUGUGCGAAACCAAGCACCUUCACCGGACGGGCCGCCCGUUAGCGGGCCGUAACGCGCCCUGGGCCGAAUUCUUCUUCUCUCGUCUACAAAGCCGGCCCGCUAACUGUUGCUCGGUCCAUCAAAGACCUAGCCGCGGCCGACGCCACUCCGCUCCGCUCCGCUCCACCGGCCGAGCGCUCGGCGGGGGCGGCGGAACCUCGCCGGCGACGACCUCCGCCCAUCGUUCACCUCUAUCUCAGGGGGUCGUCGGCGGCGUCGGCGGCGGAAGGAGGCAAUCCUUUCCGCGUCGUCGGUUGGUUCCCUGCGGCGGAGGGGGCCGCCUCGUUGGUUGGAUCCCAGCGGUGGAGUGAGGCAAGCCAGUCCUCGUCGUUGGUUCGAUCCCGGCGGCGGAGGGAGGCAACCCCGUCCGCCUCGUUGGGUGGUUCCCGGCUGUGGUGGGAGGCAACCCUGUCUGCCUUGUCGGUUGCUUCCUUGUGAGACGUGCCUGCAGCUGCUUCUGGUAGGAGGUGAAGGGAGGCAGCAAAGUUACCUGGAGCAGGGGAGGCCAAAUCCUCCAAGCGAGCACAUUACUUGAGGAACCUCGCCGGUGACGACUGCGCCCAUUGGCCAUCGCAUCUGAGGGGUCGGCGGCGGCAGAGGGAGGCAAACCAGUCCGCAUCCUUGGUUGGUUCCCCGCAGUGGAAGGAGGCAACCCCGGCUGCCUUGUAGGUUUCUUCCUUGUGGCGUGGUGCCUGCAGCUUGUUCCUGUAGGAGGUGAAGAGAGACAUCAGAGUUACCUGGUGCAGGGUGCGAAAGGGGGAGGCUGAAUCCUCUUAAGCAAUCACAAUCAUGUCUACAAGUACAAAACAGGCUGAUCGGGAGCUGAAAAAGUUCCACGAUGCACAAUGUGAAGCAUAUAGAGCAGCUGUCGCCAAUUCUCUUAAGGCAAUUUUUGCUGAGACAGUUCUCCAUACAUUUCUGUUUCCUAUUGAGCCAACAGCUGCGGACUUUCAAAGUUUGUACCAGUUGAGGGAUGUGAGAUAUGUCAACAAUUCUUCUAUGCUUCUUUCCGUUACAAAAGAGGAUGGCAAGUCUGAGACCAAGGUUCCAGUCACGCCAAAACACCACAAAGAGCUUGAGAAACAGUCGUUCCAUUCGAUAUCGAUCCAAUGUGGUGAUGGAGCAGUUAUGGAGAUAUUAAUACGUGAAAGCGAUAAUUAUGUUGUCGCGUUCCGCGUGUAUUUCUCCAUUCAAGCUAAGGAUAUAACCCCAUGGAGAACUUUCCGGGAGCCGGUGCCUAUUCGACUGGGAAAAUCAGACCCAACAAAAUACUCCUCUAGCCAUGUGAAACUUGGAAGGGUGCAAUUUGGUAAAGGAAUUCUCCUGAGAAUCUUCAAUUUUCUUAAGAUUUGCAGCUCCAUCCUGACCAAGAAAUCACAGAUGAAGGUCAGAGAUUAGUUUGCACUCUCUUCGUUCUGUUUGGUGAAGCACAGCGAUUUGCCAAGGCUAGGAAGUGGGUCAUUGAUGCUGUUGCUAGUGACAUUGCUCUGACCCUUAGUCCUCCAUUAGCUAAACUUUUCAGAGAUUGGAAGGGGAUGUCAAAAACUGGAAUGAGGUUAUACGUUGCUUUGUAUGAGGAAAGGAAUCUAUUCAUCAAAUACAAAGAAAGAUAUGGGAGUCAAGUUGACUACUUUAAUCCUUAUGAAGAUGUUGUCAAGGAGGCAAAGGAAGCAUGUAUAGAUAAGGAGCGGGAGCACCACAGAGCGAAUUUGUGCUUCCGGACAAGGCCAACUGCGGAGGUUGAUCUAUCAUUCUUGCUAGGUGGGGAGCUUUUGUUGGAUACGAAGAAUUCUCUUGCAAGGCAUUAAUACGGGAAGGCAGUGAGUAUGAUGCUCCAUGGCCGGAUGCAAAAAAGGUGAUAUGGGAGUGAGGGACUGCAAUCCGAUGCCCUGGGAGUGAGUGAUACGCAAUACAUAAUUUUGUGCAUGCUGUAACUGGCUGCUCUGAACAUCUCAGUUUGUUAACUGAAUAUAUAGUAAGGGAGGGAGUUGCUGUCAACCUCUGAGUUUGUCAACUGAUUAUGUAUUGCGUCCUUUGUCCACUGAUGCCAGUAUGGAUGCGGUUGACAGUAAUAUUUCUUUAAAAAAUCUUUGUCCACUAAUGCGGUUAAAUCUAGUUUGUUAAUUGAUUA